rnacentral:rRNA from 1 species
UAAGCGGCGGAAAAGAAACUAACAAGGAUUCCCCUAGUAACUGCGAGUGAAGCGGGAAGAGCUCAAAUUUAAAAUCUGGCGUCUUCGGCGUCCGAGUUGUAAUUUAGAGAAGCGUUUUCCGCGCUGGACCGUGUACAAGUCUCCUGGAACGGAGCGUCAUAGAGGGUGAGAAUCCCGUCUUUGACACGGACCCCCAGUGCUCUGUGAUACGCUCUCGAAGAGUCGAGUUGUUUGGGAAUGCAGCUCAAAAUGGGUGGUGAACUCCAUCUAAAGCUAAAUAUUGGCGAGAGACCGAUAGCGAACAAGUACCGUGAGGGAAAGAUGAAAAGCACUUUGGAAAGAGAGUGAAACAGUACGUGAAAUUGUUGAAAGGGAAACGCUUGAAGUCAGUCGCGUUUGCCGGGAUUCAGCCGCAAGGUGUACUUCCCGGUGGACGGGCCAGCAUCACUUUCGGUCAUCGGAAAAGGGCGAGGGGAAUGUGGCACCUCCGGGUGUGUUAUAGCCUCUUGUCGUAUACGGUGAUCGGGAGUGAGGACCGCCUUUGUAGGAUGC